rnacentral:sRNA from 1 species
CCCUAGCCCCGAUUGAAAUGAAAAUCCUUAUAUAAUUCGCCCUAGCGAGUAAUAAAAGAUUGUAAUGUAAAUCGGGAAAUAGC